CUGGAAUGUUUUUUCUUACAAAGAUUACGCCUAAGGAUGAGUCGGCGCCCGAUUAGGUUGUUGGUGGGGUAAUGGCCCACCAAGCCAAAGAUCGGUAGGGGCCUUGAGAGAGGUAGCCUCGAGGAGGACACUGAGAUAAGGGUCCUGACUCCACGGAGUAUAGCAAGUGCGAAACCUUUACAAUGCACGAAAGUGUGAUAAGGGAAUUCUGAGUGCCUAUGUUUUGCAUAGGCUUUUGCCAAGUGUAAAAAGCUUGGAGAAUAAGUGGUGGGCAAGACUGGUGCCAGCAGCCGCGGUAACACCAGCGCCACAAGUAGGGACCACAUUUAUUGGGCCUAAAGCGUUCGUAGCCGGUCAGCUAAAUCUUUUGUGAAAUUGUUGGGCUUAACCUAACAGCUUGCAGAAGACACUAGCAGACUAGAGACCAGGAGGAGUUAGAGGUAUUCGGGGGGUAGCGGUAAAAUGCAAUAAUCCUCUGAGGACCACCAGUGGCGAAGGCGUCUAACUAGAAUGGGUCUGACGGUGAGGAACGAAAGCCAGGGGAGCGAACCGGAUUAGAUACCCGAGUAGUCCUGGCCGUAAACGCUGCGAGUUAGGUGUUGCAUAUUCCACGAGAAUAUGCAGUGUCGUAGUGAAGAUGAUAAGCUCGCCGCCUGGGUAGUACGGUCGCAAGACUGAAACUUAAAGGAAUUGGCGGGGGAGCACAACAAGGGGUGCGGCGUGCGGUUUAAUCCAACUCAACGCGGAGAAUCUCACCAGAGGCGACGGCAGGAUGAAAGUCAGGUUGAAGACCUUACUUAACAAGCCGAGAGGUGGUGCAUGGCCGUCGUCAGCUCGUGCUGUGAAGUGUCCUGUUAAGUCAGGCAACGAGCGAGACCUGCACUUACAAUUGCCAUCAGCUCUUUUCAGAGGACUGGGCACAAUGUAAGGACUGCCUUGGUAACAAGGAGGAAGGUGCAGGCAACGGUAGGUCUGUAUGCCCCGAAUCCUCUGGGCUACACGCGCGCAACAAUGGUAGGGACAAUGGGACACAACUCCGAAAGGAGAAGUUAAACCUCUAAACCCUAUCUCAGUCCAGAUUGAGGGUUGUAACUCACCCUCAUGACGUUGGAAUCCCUAGUAACCAGACUUUAGCAUAGUCCGGUGAAUAUGUCCCUGCUCCUCCACACACCGCCCGUCAAGCCAACCGAGCAGGGUUUAGGUAAAAUUCAGUUUUUUAACUAAAUUGAAUCUAAUCUCAGUGAGGUGGGCUAAGUCGUCACAAGGUA
rnacentral:rRNA from 1 species